GGCACGUAGCUCAGUUGGUUAGAGCACCACCUUGACAUGGUGGGGGUCGUUGGUUCGAAUCCAAUCGUGCCUACCAA
rnacentral:tRNA from 3 species